UUAGCCUAUUUGUGGUCAUGUGUUUUCCCAAAAUCCCCAAACCUUUCUGAACCAACCCAAAAUCCCUAAAAUCUUAAAAACCAAAAUCCCCAAAACCAUUUUGAAGCAAAAUCCCUAAAGCCCUUGAGCCAAAAUUCAACGACGGUGACGGACGACGACGGUGAUCGACGACGCUAGCAGCGAGGGAGCAGCGGGUGACGACGGUCAUCAACGACGACGACGAGCAACAGUGAGUGACGACUGUAUGCGAAUGACGAUUGUAUCCAGGUGCGAGCUACAAUUUGUGCAAGUCAUUCAUUUCUAGAGGAUUGUUCUCGAAUACUACGUGCAAUUAGAAUUGCUGCCCGUUUAGGAUUCCGCUUUACAAGGGAAACAUCUUAUAGUAUAAAAAUUUAUCCUGUUCAGUUCUAAGACUUGAUAAGGGAAGGAUUCUCAUGGAAAUGAAUUACAUGCUAGCAUAUGGUUCUGCAGAAGCUUCGUUGAGGUUAUUAUGGAAAUUCAGUCUUCUUGAGAUACUUCUACCAAUUCAAGCAGCGUAUUUUGUUCAACAAGGUUUUAGGAGACGAGACAAGAGAUCUAACAUGCUUUUGUUUCAGAUAUUUUCUU